rnacentral:pre_miRNA from 1 species
CGGGGGAGGUCGAUCCUGGGCUGAUCCAGGCGCCCUGUGCUCCCGGGCUUGCGCUUUGGAUUCACGCUCCCGCCCGGGCAGCCCCCU